rnacentral:misc_RNA from 1 species
AUCAAUUUUUAAAAGUUCUGCAGCCAGCUGUUUCCGUAUCAACAUUACGUUAUGCUUGCGUGUAAUAUUCGGGAAGUAGUAACCGGAAUCUAAUAUAUUGAGCUUCGUGAAAAUUUUCCUUAAAAUAUAAUCUAUGCGAUCCUAUUUCCCGCUUAUUUUCUUCGUAUUUAAUAUUGCAAAAUACUUUAGUGUUGGCAUGUAUAUAUUUUCCUAAAGAUGGCAAGGCUUGAAAUUUUCUUUUUUGCUGUUAUCUAGUUAUGUUAUAAACCUAUAAUUUCAAUGCUGAUGAUAUGGAGUCCAGGAAAGAGAAAAUCCUGUGCCACUACUGGGAAGGAGCUUUGGUUACAUUUCAUCACAAAAAUUCUUACCUAUAUAUCUGCAGAUAAUUUUUAUAAACAUGUUAUUCUUUCUCAACACCUGAUGGUGCAGUGCAUUUUAACCACUGCUAUCAACUGUCUGCAUCUGAAUAGAAAUGUCAGAUUGCACAAAGAAGUACUUUUGUCCUCGGCUUUUGGACUACAUAGUGUUUGUCGGAGCAAGGCAGCCAAGUCGCAACCGCUCUGUUCAGCCACCAGAGCUCCUCAGGAGGUAUCCGGCGGAAGAUCACAAAGACUUCCCCUUGAGUCCUGAUGUUGUAUUUUUCUGUCAACCGGAGGGGUGUGUCUGUGCAGGGCCAAAACGUGUCAGUCUCAGGGAAUCUAGUUCUUUCGUCUUUGCUCUGACUGAAAAGGAUACUAGUCGUGUACGCUAUGGAAUUUGUGUCAACUUCUAUAGGACUAUUGAAAGGAGGCCUUCCACUAAAGAAAAGGGAAGGAAUAGGGGUAAAAAAGCUCUGGGAAGAGUCAAAGAAGAUGAAACUUCUCAUGACGGCAGAUAUUUAGAUCCAUCAUCUAGAUAUCAUCAAGAAGACUCAGAUGGUGAUUCUAAAUCAUCUUCACCUAUUGGUCAUCAACAUAUUAAAAGUCAUUCAUUGACAUCAUUAUGUAUUAUUAGUCAUCAUCCAUUUUUUUCUACUUUUCGAGAAUGCCUUUUCAUUUUGCGCAAACUUAUUGAUGCCUCCAAUGAAAGAUGUCUUUCUAAGAGAGUUGCAGGCUCUAAACAAAAUAGGGAUACAAUUUGGUCCUACAUUACUGGCAGAAAAACAGACAAUUUGCCACCUGUUAUUCUUCAUGGGAUGCGCGAGCUUGAAAUGUGGAUGCUGAGAUUACUCAGUGCCCCGGUUCCAAUACCUGGGAAAACAAGGGUGGAGGUGGAAAUUCUGCCCCGAGAUAUUCAGCCUCCUCUCACCUUUGCUCUCCCUGACCAUACUAGGUUUUCAUUAGUUGAUUUUCCUCUUCAUCUCCCUUUAGAAUUAUUAGGUGUUAACACUUGCAUGAAAGUUCUUACGUGCAUUAUUUUAGAACAUAAGAUUUUAAUGCAAUCCCGAGAUUAUAAUGCCCUCUCAAUGAGUGUAAUGGCCUUUGUUACAAUGAUUUAUCCAUUGGAAUACAUGUUUCCUGUGAUACCAUUGCUUCCAACUUGUAUGAAUGGUGCUGAACAGCUUCUGUUAGCUCCUACACCAUAUAUCAUUGGGAUUCCUGCUAGUUUCCUUAUGUUUAAAAGACAUUGUAGAUUACCUGAAGAUGUGUGGCUAGUAGAUUUAGAUUCUAAUCGAAUAACUAAACCACCCGGAGUUGAAGAUCUUCCACCUCUUCCUGAACCUGAAGGAACUAUAUUACAGAAUCAUUUGAAACAGGCUCUAGCAUCCAUGAGUAUGAGCCCUCAACCAAUCAGAAAUUUGGAUAGAAUUCAACCAGGAGUAGCUGACCGUUUAGUAUCGCAUGAACCUCCACUCCCCCCACUGGCUACAGGUUUCAAUCCCUUAAUCUAUGGCAAUGAUGUGGACUCUGUGGAUGUUGCGACUCGUAUAGCUAUGGUUCGCUUCUUUAAUUCUCCAGGUGUUCUAGCAAAUUUUAUGGAGCAUACAAGAACAUUGCGAUUAUAUCCGCGACCUGUUGUAGCUUUUCAAGUUAACAGUUUUUUGCAUUCAAGGCCUAAGUUUUCCCAAUUUUUGAAGGGAUUUGUUCGUACUCAGGCUGUAGAGUUUUUUGCAGAAUGGACUCUGUCUCCAACAAAUGUGGCUUUCUUAAGAGUUCAUACGGGAGUUUUUGAUCCUACUCUAGUUGGAGAUAAACCCAAAUGGUAUAUUAAUCAAUUGGAGCCAUUGCAUUUCAAAGUCUGGAGUGAAGGAUCAACUUUAAUUAAUUCGCUUUCUUCUACUCUACAGUCUGAGCCCUCUACAGAUGAGAGCUGUAGUGAUAGUGAAGGUGCUGGGAGUACAAGUUCAUCAUAUUCUUCUCUUAGUGAUUUUGUUACAGAUAUGGUUAACAGUGAAAUAGUUGGUGAGGGAUUCCCAGCUGCUUCUGGAAUUGAUGAAUCUAGUAAUACUCAAGUGCUUUUUGAUCAUCAUUCAGUUUAUCAACCUCCAAGUACAUUGCAAUUGCCAACUACUGGUAUUAAUAGUAGUGAUUCUGCCUUCUCUAUACCUGGUUCACUUUCCACAUCAUCAUCACAUUCUUCACUUUCUAGUAGUCCGUCUUAUAAUUGUGAUCCUGAAGAAGAUCUUGCUCGUGCUGCAGAACAAGCUGUUACUCCAGGAUUUCAACCAUUAGCCUACAGAUCAGAAUCUCAAGAUCAUGGAGAUGGGGAUACUGAAGUAUUUAGUAGCCAAGAAGCAGAAACAUCAACACUGACACCUUCAACAAUUCGAUCAGUUAUCUCUCCUCAGCCACCGAUUCAAGGUAGAAGUCCAGCUGAUAGCCUUAGUAGUGAUGUUGAAAGUAUUCAUGAUACAUUGCACAGCAUUGGUAGUAGCCCAGCAACUUCACGUCCGAAGACUGGUAGUGCUGCUGUAUCUUCAGAGCCUUCAGUUGAUAAGGGCAGCAGUGCUAGUUCUGGAACUCGUACUCCAACGAGAACUCUGAGUAUAAGCAGUGUCUUAAGCAGGACUGGUAGCCAGGGAGGUGCGACUCUCACUGCACAGAAUAGUCAAGGCUCAUUGUUCGAGACUAUGGCUAGAGAAGCUAGAGAGGUAGCACGUGAAGCAAGUAAAGCAGCUGUAGAAGCUAGUCGAACUGCCAUGGAAGCUACUAAGCCUGCCCGAGAAGCUGGAAAGAAGAGUCUGUUAAAAAAUUGGCAAGCCUUAGGGGAACCAAUGACUGGAAGUAAAGACAAGCAUGCUGCUGAAUCUACAGAACUUGUAACUAGAGAUGGUGGUUCUAGUCCAGGUUCUAUCAUGUCAACAGUUAGCAGUGAAUUGAAUGGUAUAGCAGCACAAACAUCCAGUAUGCUUUCUGGCUUCUUCAGUAGUAGAUCCAGUUCCAUUUCUACUAGAGCCAAAGAUCGCUCACAGCCUUUUGGUCCUUUUCCUAAAGGUCUAAGAAAAGGCCCUUUACAUGAAAAAAAUUCUCUCAUCAAACAUGCAACUCCCCAAAAGAAACAAGAUGCUCAAAAAUUACAAAUGUUUGAAGAACAUAAAAGCUCUCACGUGGAUAACCAAACAUUUUUGAAAGAAGUUAUCAACAAUGUGUUAGCAGGAGAUGGUAUAAGUUGGUUGAAGUUUGGGAAAGUCAGAAAACUCAUGGAAGACGAAAAUUAUCGGAACUUGGUUGUUUCUCGACUAAAUAAAACUUUAGAAACAAAAGUUGGACCAGAUGAUCAUAUUGAUGAUGUUUGCCUACCUAAACAAGUUUGGAAGGGAUAUCAGAGACUCCUUCAAGCGGUUAUAUCAGGAUUAGAACAUACCUAUAGUAAUUAUGGUCUAGGAGGAAUGGCUAGUGCUUAUCAAGUCUUGGAAAUUGCUCAUACACAUUAUUAUUGUGAAGAAUCAAAACUUGAUACAGCUUCUCCAUCUCAGGGUAGCAGUCCAUUUGGUAGUGGAGAAAACCUAUAUAAACAUCUCUCUGAUUCGAGUAGAACUGAAGAUCCUAUGAAUCUUUCUGUUGCAAGCUCUACUAAGAGUAGUACCAAUAGCAGUCCUUCUGAUCUUCAACAUCAUGCUUCACCUAUGAGUGAGAAGGAAUACCAAGAAAAAGGCCAACUACAAGAAGGACAAUGCAAUGUCCAUAUUACUCCUUCACCUGAAAGUUCAGAGCAUGAAGAAGCAACUGACAUGUUUCGCAGCAUAAUAAAUGCCAAACGAAAUAUUCUAUUUUCUAGAAUUACAAGCGUCGAAUCAGAAGUUUCGGAAGCAGGCACUGCUUUAAGUCAGAGCUCUGACCAGGCAGCUCCAAGCUGCAAUGCAAGUGAUACUGGAAGUAUGACCACUAAUCCAUCAUAUCAUAGAAAUCUUAGAAUAAAUCAAAACUCUUUUCGCUCUACAGUUUCAGACAGUGAAAUUGAAGCUGGAAAUUUUCUAAACAAUCGGCAGAAACGAACACCUAGCAUAUGGAGCAGUAAAAGUAGCCUUAGUACUGGUUUCCGCUAUCACGGAGGUAGCUUGAUUAACACGUCAUCGAAUCCUGUAAAUGAGCUGCCACGAAUGUAUCUUUUUGAAGGUUUAUUAAAUAGAGAUCGAUCAACUCUGUGGGAUCAAAUGCAAUUUUGGGAAGAUGCAUUCAUGGAUGCUGUUGCUCAGGAGAGAGAUAUGGUGGGAAUGGAUCAAGGACCUGGUGAAAUGAUGGAAAGGUAUCAGUCUCUAGCUACUAUGGAUAAAAAGAGAUUAGAACAUGAUGAAGACAGGCUUCUAUCUACUAUGCUGUAUAAUACAGUUGCCUUUAUGGUAAUGAUGAAAGUUAACAAAGCUGAAAUAAGGAGAAAAAAUUGUCGUCUGUUGGGAAAAUGCCACAUUAGCCUUGUUUAUAGUGCUGAAGUCAAUGAACUCUUAGAUCAAAUUGUAAAUCUUCAUGGUAAUGAUAUUGACCUCAGGCCCUUAAGUAGUAGACAGAUGCAUCGACAGUCCUUCACUGUACAUUUAGGUGUAGAUGCCACUGGGGAUAUGUUAUUUAUGGAAGUUAGAGAUGAUGGCAUAGUGUUACGCAGCGUUAAUGGUGCGAUAGUGGAGAGAUGGUGGUAUGAACGGCUUGUAAAUAUGACAUAUUGUCCUAAAAACAAAGUGCUAUGUUUAUGGCGUAAACAUGGUGGACAAACUCAACUUCGGAAAUACUAUACCAAAAAAUGCAAGGAUUUAUAUUAUUGCAUAAAGGAAUCAAUGGAAAGAGCUGCCCAGAGAGGAAAUGGCAUGUUGCCAGGAACAGAACUUGGAGGAGAAUUUCCUGUUCAGGACAUGAAAACUGGUGAAGGAGGGCUGCUUCAAGUGUGCAUGGAAGGAGUUGGUCUUUUGUUUGCAAACAGUAAAGACUUUGAGUUCUUUGUAAGGCUGGAAAACAUAAGAAAGUGUUUCACCCAGAAGGGCGGGCUGUUUAUUCUGGAAGAGUUUAACCCCAAAACAAGACAAUUAGUCCAGCGAAAAUAUAAGUCAUCUUUGGCUCCUGAAAUAUGUGUAGCAAUUCUUCGUAUUCUUGGUGUCCAUGUGGCUAAACGUCCAGCAGGAUGCCUCAAUUGAUAUUCCAGCACUAUCAUACUCUCAAAUAUGCACAUGCUGUUAUGCACAUGUUGGUGUCUUUUGUUGCUUGCGGACCAAAUAUGUUACGCUGUUUUAUGUGUUUUUUCUUAUAUCGCGGCUGGAAUCGAACAA